rnacentral:tRNA from 1 species
AGAAACUUAGGAUACAAUACGUGAGACCAAGGCCCUUCAAAGGCCUAAGUGGGAGUGCGAAUCUCCCAGUUUCUG